UGGGGAAUUUUGGACAAUGGGCGAAAGCCUGAUCCAGCAAUGCCGCGUGUGUGAAGAAGGCCUUCGGGUUGUAAAGCACUUUUGUCCGGAAAGAGAUCCUUGGCUCUAAUACAGUCGGGGGAUGACGGUACCGGAAGAAUAAGCACCGGCUAACUACGUGCCAGCAGCCGCGGUAAUACGUAGGGUGCAAGCGUUAAUCGGAAUUACUGGGCGUAAAGCGUGCGCAGGCGGUUUGCUAAGACCGAUGUGAAAUCCCCGGGCUCAACCUGGGAACUGCAUUGGUGACUGGCAGGCUAGAGUAUGGCAGAGGGGGGUAGAAUUCCACGUGUAGCAGUGAAAUGCGUAGAGUGUGGAGGAAUACCGAUGGCGAAGGCAGCCCCCUGGGCCAAUACUGACGCUCAUGCACGAAAGCGUGGGGAGCAAACAGGAUUAGAUACCCUGGUAGUCCACGCCCUAAACGAUGUCAACUAGUUGUUGGGGAUUCAUUUCCUUAGUAACGUAGCUAACGCGUGAAGUUGACCGCCUGGGGAGUACGGUCGCAAGAUUAAAACUCAAAAGGAUUGACGGGGGCUCAUAGCUGUUUCCUG
rnacentral:rRNA from 1 species